rfam:Agrilus planipennis Contig37606, whole genome shotgun sequence.
ACUUUCUUGUCAGCCCAUAAGUCCUGCUUGCUCUAAUAUUUGUGUACGGCUAAUUAUGUGUACCCUAGUUGGUCCUAGAACGGCCUAAGGUAAAGGGGUUUUAGUCGGAAGGUUUGAGGACUUCUUCCUCGCGAAUCCGACACUACCCAGUCGUACAGACGGCUGGGUGUCUUUUGAAGAUUUCCCCUCUUUCACAAAA